rnacentral:lncRNA from 10 species
UAAGGAUCUAAGCAUCUAGCAUUUCCCCUGCUUGCCUGUACUCCAUCCUGCCACCCUGUGAAGAAGGUUCCUGCUUCUCCUUUACCUUCUGCCAUGACUGUAAGUUUCCUGAGGCUUCCCCAGCAAUGAGUAACUGUACUAUAGUAGGGACUGGAAAUUCAACGUGAAAAAAAGUUAAAUCUCUGCUGCCUUAAAAUAAUCAGAAUGUAAGGAGAAAAUGUUUUCAGCUGGAACUUAAAUAGACCGGCCACAAAUAACCCGUAAUUCUCUAUAAAUGGACUGUCAUGCUGAGAACAGCUUUAUGCCACGCUGAUCCUAGCUCCACAAGAGCCGGCUAAGCUACACUUACCCAGUAGCAGGUCACACUCCAGAGCCCACUGGAUUCUUGCUGACACAAUAAGUACGCUUCCAGCUGGGGCCAAGAACAAUCUGGACUCAGGCAGAGUGUGAAUUACAGUGAAGAGCUACCACCCUCCUAACCACAGCCAAUCAACAGAAAAUAAACACAGGUAGGAGAAGGAAUGAACUCCUUUCCACAACAUGAGUACAUCACUUUUUCUCUGUUACAGUUUUGUGGAGGAAAUCAUCCCCUUGGGAUCUUCAGCGUUGUCUCAUUUACCUCCGCUCUCUCUAGAACUGGGUGGUGCAAAAAUGCCUAAGCCUUCUUGGGAAAGGAAACUGAGUGCCACAUGCAUAGGAGGCGUGGCUAUGGGUCAGCUGGUGUACCUCUAAUGCAAGUACCUCACAUGCUUAAAAUGGUUCUUCCUCCUAUCCCUCCUUUCCGUAAACUGCACCCUCUGUUUCACCCAAAACCAAAAUGGUAAAAUCACUGAGAAAACACAAGAGUUAUUGAAAUCAAAGUGUUAACAAUUCCUUUUAAGUGUAUCUUGCGUUUUAAAUGGAUGUGGUAUCUUAAUAUCAUAUUGUGAUUAUAUUUUUAAUUUUUCAAAGCCACAACCUGACUUAAAAGAGGUCAAUAUUCUUUUCCUCCUUUAAUAAAAUUGUACUGACAAGUUUUAAUAAAAGCUGUGCCUGUUUUAUAUUUUCUUGUUGUGGAUUAUAUACAAAAUUAAAUAUAGAAUCAUUUUAUGUUCAGUUAACAACUUUUAAUUUUUUUCCUAAUUGAAAUGUAAGAGUGUACAUAUUGUUACUAUGUAAGGCUUUGUAAAAUGUAGUCCUUUUAAAGCUAAAAGAAUAGGACCAAAAUAAUUCAACAUAAACAUGUAUUAAUCAUGUGUCAAUUACCAUUUAAAUCUGUACUACUAUUUUACUAUAGAUAACUUACUGAACACCUCCCUUCAAAAUAAA